UCUCUUAUGGUACAAUGGAUAGUAUUCGCCGAAUAGGAAUUCCUCCGAUAUCCGGGUUCGAAUCCGGUAAGAGAC